AAAGAAACCAACAGGGAUUGCCUCAGUAACGGCGAGUGAAGCGGCAACAGCUCAAAUUUGAAAUCUGGCCCCAGGCCCGAGUUGUAAUUUGCAGAGGAUGCUUCUGGCGCGGUGCCUUCCGAGUUCCCUGGAACGGGACGCCAUAGAGGGUGAGAGCCCCGUCUGGUCGGACACCAAGCCUCUGUGAAGCUCCUUCGACGAGUCGAGUAGUUUGGGAAUGCUGCUCUAAAUGGGAGGUAUAUGUCUUCUAAAGCUAAAUACCGGCCAGAGACCGAUAGCGCACAAGUAGAGUGAUCGAAAGAUGAAAAGCACUUUGGAAAGAGAGUUAAACAGCACGUGAAAUUGUUGAAAGGGAAGCGUUCACGACCAGACUUGGGCCCGGUUGAUCAUCCAGCGUUCUCGCUGGUGCACUCUGCCGGCCCAGGCCAGCAUCAGUUCGCGCCGGGGGACAAAGGCGGCGGGAAUGUGGCUCCCCCGGGAGUGUUAUAGCCCGCCGCGCAAUACCCUGGGGUGGACUGAGGUUCGCGCUCUGCAAGGAUGCUGGCGUAAUGGUCGUCAACGACCCGUCUUGAAACACGGACCAAGGAGUCGUCUUCGUAUGCGAGUGUUCGGGUGUCAAACCCCUACGCGUAAUGAAAGUGAACGCAGGUGAGAGCUUCGGCGCAUCAUCGACCGAUCCUGAUGUUCUCGGAUGGAUUUGAGUAAGAGCAUACGGGGCCGGACCCGAAAGAAGGUGAACUAUGCCUGUAUAGGGUGAAGCCAGAGGAAACUCUGGUGGAGGCUCGCAGCGGUUCUGACGUGCAAAUCGAUCGUCAAAUAUGGGCAUGGGGGCGAAAGACUAAUCGAACCUUCUAGUAGCUGGUUUCCGCCGAAGUUUCCCUCAGGAUAGCAGUGUUGAACUCAGUUUUAUGAGGUAAAGCGAAUGAUUAGGGACCCGGGGGCGCUAUAUUGCCUUCAUCCAUUCUCAAACUUUAAAUAUGUAAGAAGCCCUUGUUGCUUAAUUGAACGUGGGCAUUCGAAUGUAUCAAC
rnacentral:rRNA from 1 species